UUCUCACUCUGGGUAACAAGGAGACACAAAAGGUCAUUGCUGAAGAAGCUGGUUGUUCACAGAGCUCUGUAUGCAAGCAUGGAAACAGAAAAUUGAGUGGGAGGAAGAAGUGUGGUAGGAAAAGGUGCAACAGGUAGAAGAUUCUCAUGUGAAAUCCAUUCAAGAAGAACCAAGACACAGACAAAUACUAGACAUGGCUACAGAUGUGGCAUUCUCCAUGUCAAGUCACAACUGAGCCAGAGACAGAGAUGUCUUUCCUGAGCUACGCAGAAAAAGAACCAGGUUGUUGUGCAAUGGUCCAGAAUUCUGUUUUUAGAUUAAAGUAAUUUCUGAAUUUCAUUUGGAAAUCAAGGUUUCAGGGUCUGAAGGAAAAGUGGCGAGGCACAGAGCCCAAGUUGGUUGAAGUCCAGUGGGAAGUUUUCACAGUCGGCGACACUUUGGGGUCACUGCUGGUUGUGGUACAGUGUGUUUUCUGAAAGUGACGGUCCUGGUAGAUCAACACAGGAUCUACCAGGAAAUUCUACAGCACCUCAUGGUUCCUUCUGCUGACAAGCUGUACAGAGAUGCUGAUUUUAUUUUCCAGCAGGACUUGACGCCUGCCCACACUGCCAAAGAAAAUCUCUGGGCUGAGGAAAAUGAUGGACGCCAGACCCAAUGAAGGAAGAUGACCUGAAGUCAGCUAUCAAAAUAAUCUGGGCUUCUAUUAACCAGAUUGCUUCUGUGCUGUUGAUACAGUGAGGAUGCUCAGCCAAGCAGAAAUAUACACACUUUUCAGAAGUUUGACAUUUGUGCUUAAAUCAUUCAUUUCUGAUUGGUUUGUGAUAUUUUAACUUUCUGAGGCACUGGAUUUUUGGUUUUCUUAAAAAAAUAUAUAUAAAAGCUUGAAAUAUUUUACUCUGUGUGUAAUUAAUCCUUAUGAAAUGACCAUUUAAUUUCUGAGAUGACUGGUAAGAAAUAUUGCACUUUUUUUUUGCAAUAUCCACAUUUUAUUUAGACAUAUUAGCUUGCUGUUUAAAAAAAACAUACUGUUCUAGUUAUUCCAAUGAAUAUUGGUGGUUUGGGCAUUUCUGUACUUGCACAGUUGCUAUGUAACAUCUCCCUCUGUUCAUUCUUGUUGUAUUAAAGUUAGGAAAUGUGU